UGCCCAUGCGCAGCUAAUACAUGCAGUCGAACGGUUGUAGUGAUACAAUAGUGGCGCACGGGUGCGUAACACGUAUGCAACCUACCUUAUAGACGGGGAUAGCCUUUGGAAACGGAGAUUAAUACCCGAUAGCAUUAUAUGACUGGCAUCAGUUAAUAAUUAAAGAUUUAUCGCUAUAAGCUGGGCAUGCGUCCAAUUAGUUAGUUGGUGAGGUAACGGCUCACCAAGACGAUGAUUGGUAGGGGAACUGAGAGGUUAAUCCCCCACACUGGCACUGAGAUACGGGCCAGACUCCUACGGGAGGCAGCAGUAGGGAAUAUUGGGCAAUGGAGGCAACUCUGACCCAGCCAUGCCGCGUGCAGGAUGAAGGCGUUAUGCGUUGUAAACUGCUUUUAUAUAGGAAGAAAUAGACCUUGCGAGGUAAGUUGACGGUACUAUAUGAAUAAGCACCGGCUAACUCCGUGCCAGCAGCCGCGGUAAUACGGAGGGUGCAAGCGUUGUCCGGAUUUAUUGGGUUUAAAGGGUGCGUAGGCGGUUUAUUAAGUCAGUGGUGAAAGACGGUCGCUCAACGAUUGCAGUGCCAUUGAUACUGGUAGACUUGAGUGGGAUUGAGGUAGCUGGAAUGGAUGGUGUAGCGGUGAAAUGCAUAGAUAUUAUCCAGAACACCAAUUGCGUAGGCAAGUUACUAAGUCUCAACUGACGCUGAGGCACGAAAGUGUGGGUAUCAAACAGGAUUAGAUACCCUGGUAGUCCACACUGUAAACGAUAAUAACUAACUGUUGGCUUUUGGGUCAGUGGUACAGAGAAAUCGUUAAGUUAUCCACCUGGGGAGUACGCCGGCAACGGUGAACUCAAGGAUUUGACGGGGGUCCGCACAGCGGCGGAGCAUGGUGGUUUAAUUCGACGAUACGCGAGGAACCUUACCUAGGCUAGAAUGUGAA
rnacentral:rRNA from 1 species